rnacentral:rRNA from 1 species
CGGGGUGGAGUAAUGCUUGGGAAUCUAGCUUAUGGAGGGGGAUAACUACGGGAAACUGUAGCUAAUACCGCGUAGUAUCGGAAGAUGAAAGUGUGGGACCUUCGGGCCACAUGCCAUAGGAUGAGCCCAAGUGGGAUUGGGUAGUUGGUGAGGUAAAGGCUCACCAAGCCGACGAUCUCUAGCUGGUCUGAGAGGAUGACCAGCCACACUGGGACUGAGACACGGCCCAG